rnacentral:rRNA from 1 species
AUACGUAGGGGGCUAGCGUUAUCCGGAAUUACUGGGCGUAAAGGGUGCGUAGGUGGUUUCUUAAGUCAGAAGUGAAAGGCUACGGCUCAACCGUAGUAAGCUUUUGAAACUAAGAGACUUGAGUGCAGGAGAGGAGAGUAGAAUUCCUAGUGUAGCGGUGAAAUGCGUAGAUAUUAGGAGGAAUACCAGUUGCGAAGGCGGCUCUAUGGACUGUAACUGACACUGAGGCACGAAAGCGUGGGGAGCAAACAGGAUUAGAUACCCUGGUAGUCCACGCCGUAAACGAUGAGUACUAGCUGUCGGGGGUUACCCCCCUCGGUGGCGCAGCUAACGCAUUAAGUACUCCGCCUGGGAAGUACGCUCGCAAGAGUGAAACUCAAAUGAAUUGACGGGG